rnacentral:rRNA from 1 species
CCUACGGGAGGCAGCAGUGGGGAAUUUUGGACAAUGGGCGCAAGCCUGAUCCAGCCAUUCCGCGUGAGUGAAGAAGGCCUUCGGGUUGUAAAGCUCUUUCGGCAGGAACGAAACGGUGGGGGCUAAUACCCUCUGCUAAUGACGGUACCUGAAGAAGAAGCACCGGCUAACUACGUGCCAGCAGCCGCGGUAAUACGUAGGGUGCGAGCGUUAAUCGGAAUUACUGGGCGUAAAGCGUGCGCAGGCGGCUUUGUAAGACAGAUGUAAAAUCCCCGGGCUUAACCUGGGAACUGCGUUUGUGACUGCAAGGCUGGAGGGCGGCAGAGGGGGGUGAAAUUCCACGUGUAGCAGUAAAAUGCGUAGAGAGGUGGAGGAACACCGAUGGCGAAGGCAGCCCCCUGGGUUGACACUGACGCUCAUGCACGAAAGCGUGGGGAGCAAACAGGAUUAGAUCCCCCGGUAUU